rnacentral:rRNA from 1 species
AUUGAACGCUGGCGGCAGGCCUAACACAUGCAAGUCGAACGAGUGGCGGACGGGUGAGUAAUGUCUGGGAAACUGCCUGAUGGAGGGGGAUAACUACUGGAAACGGUAGCUAAUACCGCAUACCAUCAGAUGUGCCCAGAUGGGAUUAGCUAGUUGGUGGUGUAACGGCUCACCAAGGCGACGAUACCUAGCUGGUCUGAUAGGAUGACCAGCCACAAGGAAACUGAGACACGGGCAAGACUCCUACGGGAGGCAGCAGUGGGGAAUAUUGCACAAUGGGCGCAAGCCUGAUGCAGCCAUGCCGCGGGUAUGAAGAAGGCCUUCGGGUUGUAAAGUACUUUCAGCGGGGAGGCGUUACCCGCAGAAGAAGCACCGGCUAACUCCGUGCCAGCAGCCGCGGUAAUAC